rnacentral:misc_RNA from 1 species
AUUUAAGAAUAAAAAGAAGAAAAACAAAAAAAGGAAAGAAAUGAAGAGAAGAGAAAGAACCAGAAAAAGCUACAUCUUUAUUCUCAUUACUCUCUAAAAUAAAAGAUUGCAUAUUCAUAUAUAAUAAUCUCCUAAAAUUACUACACUUGAUUAAGAAUAUAAAUCCUACCUAUUUAAGGAUGAAAAUCCUAUCCUAGUUAGGAAUAUAAAUAAUAUAUAAAAUCUACUAAUUAGG